rnacentral:rRNA from 1 species
AGGGUUUGAUCAUGGCUCAGAACGUACGCUGGCGGCACGCCUAACACAUGCAAGUCGAACGAAGUAGCAAUACUUAGUGGCAGACGGGUGAGUAACAUGUAGGUAUCUGCCCUUUGGCCUGGAAUAACACGAGGAAACUUGUGCUAAUACCGGAUAAGUCUUUACGGAGAAAGCUUUAUGCACCAUUGGAUGAGCCUGCACUUGAUUAGUUUGUUGGUGGGGUAAUGGCCUACCAAGACUGUGAUCAAUAGCUGAUUUGAGAGGAUGAUCAGCCACAUUGGGACUGAGACACGGCCCAAACUCCUACGGGAGGCAGCAGUGGGGAAUCUUGCACAAUGGAGGAAACUCUGAUGCAGCGAUGCCGCGUGAGUGAAGAAGGCCUUUGGGUUGUAAAGCUCUUUCGUCGGGGAAGAAAAUGACUGUACCCGAAUAAGAAGGUCCGGCUAACUUCGUGCCAGCAGCCGCGGUAAUACGAAGGGACCUAGCGUAGUUCGGAAUUACUGGGCUUAAAGAGUUCGUAGGUGGUUGAAAUAGUUGGUGGUGAAAUCCCAGAGCUUAACUCUGGAACUGCCAUCAAAACUUUUCAGCUAGAGUAUGAUAGAGGAAAGCAGAAUUUCUAGUGUAGAGGUGAAAUUCGUAGAUAUUAGAAAGAAUACCAAUUGCGAAGGCAGCUUUCUGGAUCAUUACUGACGCUGAGGAACGAAAGCAUGGGUAGCGAAGAGGAUUAGAUACCCUCGUAGUCCAUGCCGUAAACGAUGUGUGUUAGACGUUGGAAAUUUAUUUUCAGUGUCGCAGCGAAAGCGAUAAACACACCGCCUGGGGAGUACGACCGCAAGGUUAAAACUCAAAUGAAUUGACGGGGACCCGCACAAGUAGUGGAGCAUGUGGUUUAAUUCGAAGAUACGCGCAGAACCUUACCAACACUUGACAUGUUCGUCGCGACUCUAAGAGAUUAGAGUUUUCGGUUCGGCCGGACGAAACACAGGUGCUGCAUGGCUGUCGUCAGCUCGUGUCGUGAGAUGUUGGGUUAAGUCCCGCAACGAGCGCAACCCUCACUUUUAGUUGCCAUCAUUUAGUUGGGCACUCUGAAAGAACUGCCAGUGAUAAGCUGGAGGAAGGUGGGGAUGACGUCAAGUCCUCAUGGCCCUUACGUGUUGGGCUACACACGUGCUACAAUGGUAUCUACAACAGGAAGCAAAACUGCGAGGUUAAGCAAAUCCUUAAAAGAUACCUCAGUUCGGAUUGCACUCUGCAACUCGAGUGCAUGAAGCUGGAAUUACUAGUAAUCGUGGAUCAGCGUGCCACGGUGAAUGCGUUCCCGGGUCUUGUACACACCGCCCGUCACACCAUGGGAGUUGGUUCUACCUUAAGGCAAGGUUUCAAACCCUUGACCACGGUAUAGUCAGCGACUGGGGUGAAGUCGUAACAAGGUAGCCGUA